rnacentral:lncRNA from 1 species
GGAAACUUUGUGAAGAGAAACUGACUGCGCGGAGUACUGUGGAAGAGCUAGGAAGGAAAGAAGGAAGCCUCCAGAGGUUGACAGAAGCGCUGCUUGAAAACCAAAGACAGAUGGGAGAGACGUACUCUUUACUGGAUCAGGGCCACGAAGCAGAGCAGUCUAGGCCACAGACCAUUCAUUCUAAGUGGCCUCUCUUUGAUUUGACUGUGAUUGAUCAGCUGUUCAAGGAAAUGUCAUAUUGUUUGUUUGACUUGAAAGCAUUGUGUAGUAUUCUUAAUCAACGUGCUCAGGGCAAGGAGCCUAACCUCUCAUUGUUACUGGGAAUCCGAUGUUCAAACUCUGAAUCCUUACAUACGUUUG